AGAGUUAAAAGUACGUGAAAUUGCUAAGAGGGAAACGUUUGAGAUCAGUGUUGCUUGUCAGAAAUCAACUCAUCAGCAAUGGUGGGUGCACUUUUUGGCCAGCAGGUCAACAUUGGUUUUUGGCAGAGGACAUUAUUUUGGGAAGGUAGUCAUAUCUUCGGAACUGGUGUUAUAGCCUGAAAGAAUACUUUGUCGAAGACCAAGGCACGCGAUGUAAGCUUAGCGGACGAACGCGUCUCUGUGUGCAUUACGCUUGCUGGAUGCUUGCAAACUGUAAGUACAUCGUAUACACUGGCGUGCUAGUACCAUUACAUCAAGGAUGUUGACGAAAUGGUUUUAAACGACC
rnacentral:rRNA from 1 species